UACGUAGGGGGCAAGCGUUGUCCGGAUUUAUUGGGCGUAAAGGGCUCGUAGGCGGUUUGUCGCGUCGGGAGUGAAAAUCCAGGGCUUAACUCUGGACUGGCUUCCGAUACGGGCAGACUAGAGGUAUGCAGGGGAGAACGGAAUUCCUGGUGUAGCGGUGAAAUGCGCAGAUAUCAGGAGGAACACCGGUGGCGAAGGCGGUUCUCUGGGCAUUACCUGACGCUGAGGAGCGAAAGUGUGGGGAGCGAACAGG
rnacentral:rRNA from 1 species